AAAAUGUACCGGGGCUAAACGUAUCACCGAAGCUGUGGAUGGACACCAAUGCAUCUUUUCCUUCGGAAAAAUGCUGGGUGUCCGUGGUAGGAGAGCGUUCUAAGGGCUGCGAAGCUAGACCGUAAGGACUGGUGGAGCGCUUAGAAGUGAGAA
rnacentral:ncRNA from 1 species